rnacentral:rRNA from 1 species
AACGAACGCUGGCGGCAUGCCUAACACAUGCAAGUCGAACGAGACCUUCGGGUCUAGUGGCGCACGGGUGCGUAACGCGUGGGAACCUGCCCUUAGGUUCGGAAUAACUCCCCGAAAGGGGUGCUAAUACCGGAUAAUGUCUUCGGACCAAAGAUUUAUCGCCUUUGGAUGGGCCCGCGUUGGAUUAGCUAGUUGGUAGGGUAAAAGCCUACCAAGGCGACGAUCCAUAGCUGGUCUGAGAGGAUGAUCAGCCACACUGGGACUGAGACACGGCCCAAACCCCUACGGGAGGAAGCAGGGGGGAAUAUUGGAAAAGGGGCGAAAGCCUGAACCGGCAUGGCCGGGGGGGUGAUGAAGGCCUUAGGGUGGUAAAGCUCUUUUACCCGGGAUAAAAAUAACGGUACCGGGAAAAAAAGCCCCGGCAAACUCCGG